GGUUGAGUAUACCAUUGCAUGAUGGUCAUUUCUGUGUCAACCUCCAGAUAGUGUAGAGUACCUAGUGAGUUUUUUUAAGAAGUUCGAACGUGUAGUUCGGCCGGAAACAAUAUAAGUUACAUACUCUAAGGAGCAAAUUAAAGUAAAUUAUUGAACAGGAAAUAUAAACAAAUCAAAAUACGAAAUUUUCAAAAAAAAAGGGGAAUUGGCGGUCACAGACAAGGUCGUGGCCGACGAGGUUUAAUCCUUUUUGAAGGAUUUUUUUUUAAAUCUUCACGAAAUCCAGUUUUAUGGUAUAUUGGAAGGGCACACCGCCCUAACGACCUCCAAAUACCCUACAGCGAAAAUUGAAGUUCAAGCUGCGCACCGAAUUGAGAAUUAAAUUCGAUUGGGCAAAUAGUUAUAAUCGUGAAGAAGCCAAAUAUAGUGGAUACUCACAUAUCAGAUUACGACGUCAGAUAUCUUCGUGGUCAAAGCCAAGUAGCCCUGGAGUAGCACUGUAUGAGUGACAGAACCUCGCUUUUGGCCAAUAAAAAAAAAAGUAAAUUUGAAAACUAAAACGUAUGUACGAAUUUUUUUUUGGCGUGAUAUUGUGUUUUUUUUUGAUUUUUCUUAAUUUAUAUAUAUAUACUUAUACUUAUAUUUAAAAUUUAUUCUUUAAAUUUUCAAUUUUUUUUUGUUCAAUGACUUUCUUUGUUGUUGAAAAUUAGUGGCAACUAGGUUUUGAGUGAUCUUAAAAGGUAAAAGUUUUGAAGUGGUGAAUAGGCAAUAAAACCACGGAUUGCCUUUUCCUCCUUCGUGGGCGAAACCGGUACUUUUGGAGUACAUACAAUCCGCUAUAGACUACUAUAAAGAGCUCUAUAUAGGUAGGGGAAUUAGCGAGAACGCGGGCGUUUAUAAGGCCGAGAAAAGUAAGGUCAUAUUUUUCAUUAAAAAGGGGCUAAAGGUUUGCCAUAAGGUUUAAUGCCAUAUGCCAAAUUUGUUAAGUUAUAAUUAUUUUUUUUUGUUUUCACAUUUUAGUCUGCCAAUAAUUUUGUUUUUUUUGCUCAUUGAAUUGUUCCGUUAUAAGUUUAACGUAAAUUUCUUUUUUUUUUCUGUUAUUUAUUUUUUUUGUACCUUGUGGUAUCGUAUUCAAGAUAUUUUUUUUUUUUAAAUCCAAUGCGACCAAAAAUUGUUGUUGAUGAUUUUUCUAUUUAUAAAAUAUAAUAAAUGAUUGUGAAUCACGCCAAUGCGAAUUUUUUUAUUCAAACUUAAAAAAGUUUGAGAUGGCCUGUUAAGGAUUUUUCAGGGGGUGGAAAGGGGCGGAUAAGUGUUCUUCAACUAGGAUGAAGUGAAGGCGUGAAGAAGAUGCCUAUUGAGGGGAGUCCCAAUGGACGUUAUAUGGGCUCCAGGCUGGGAGGGGGCAAUGCUGCAAAACAUCAGUAGCACAACGGUAAACUGGUCAUGGUUGGAAUGGUAAGAAAAGUAUAAGUGUUUUUUUUUUUGUUUCUCCUUGUUCAAGUGAAUGGCACGAUUUAUGUUUUUUUGUUGUGGUUUUCCUCGUAUCCCAGGACAAGAUCCCCCCCAUAUCCGGCGAGCUAAGCCGUACGUCGCCAGCGUGCCAGUCCUGAGUGUCGAAUCUCCUAUUUCCUUUUUUUAUCCUAUUCUACCCUAUACUCCUACCUAAUGAAAAAUUUUGUCAUGGUCGCACCGGCCAUCCUACCUAUCCUAUUCCCUGCUCUCUUCCUAUCCCUGAUCCUUAAAUCCUUUUGUGAAACUUAACCCGCAACAUUCUGUCUUUUAAAAAUUGUAAAGUUUAGUUUUAAGCGAAACUCGAAAGAAUAAAGAUUAAAGAAAAAACUCGUCUUCAUUUUUUGUUCCGUCAUAACACACACUGCGGGACAAACCCGGGCUUUGACCAAUUAUAAAAUUGAAUAUAAUUAACCCACGCAAUUGGUUUGUAAUACAAAUAUCAUUUUUUAUAUAAUUUUAUUGUGAGUAAGGACGAGUUCAUAAAUGCAGGACUGCAGCAGUUCCGCAAAAUAGAACUUCCAUUUAUUCAGCCAAGGAUUGUCUAUUGAAAAAUGUAUCCAACUUAUUAGAACUAUUUGUCUUUGUUUAAAAAAACGAGCACUAAAUUAGUCAAAAUUCACUCAUAAUACCAUAAUACUCUUGCAUUUAUUAACUCACCCUAAGGCCCAUUUCACACGUCGCCGAGAAGCGGAUAGGUAUAGCCGGUUGCUAGGUACACGUUCUUAUGGGCGCCUUCACCCUUCACACAUACAAACCGAAACCGUGUACACGGUUGUACACACGGAAUGAAACCAACUGCGCUUACUACAACCAGAGACAGAAGAAAUAUAUAUUUCUUUUGUCUUUGCUUCAACUUAGUUGCCGUUCUGGUUUUCUUCUCAUGUGCUGUAGUCAAGAAAAGGGGUUGUUUUAUGUUUUUAUAUUGUGAGGUAGUGUGAGGUAUAUCAAGAUCAAGUCGAAGUGAAAACUACAAGAAAAAUUCUUGUUUCAUCCCUUGUUCUGCAGCUGCAGCCGACCGGCUGCCGGGUGUGUGUGAAAGCAUAGGUACUCAUUUUUUGACAAAACUGUGUAUCCUGGCCGGAUAGCCGGUCUCGGUUAUGUGUGAAAUGUGCCUAAGACUGUCUGGGAAUUGUUUUUGUUAAACGGUACCAACCUUUUUUCCAAGAUGGUGACUGCUCCCGACAUCUUAUCAUCCCAACAAACGGACUUUUAUGAUAAGGAUAUUCACCCAAACACUUUGAAACUGCCGCAAUAUUUUUGUUAGUUCUGUUUCUUGGGCUUAGAAUCAGUGGCGUAUCCAGAAAAAAAUUUGGAGGGGGCUGGAAAAUUUUUCAAAAAAUUUUUAUAGGGUAAAUUUACCUAUACGUAAAUUUGUCUGUCUUUUUUAUUCAUCUUUAAUCGAGAGUGAAGCGCUGUGCUGCGGUACUGAAACUGGUAUGGUAGCAUUUUACUGUUCUUUUACAGCUUCGUACUACUGUCUCCUCCUUUUACAUUCAAAGUACCUAGU